CCCAUCUCAGGAUUGCAUCUGGUGAGUUUCCAGUACUCUACCAGUCUUGGCUACGGGAGGGAGAGUCAAGCAGAGGCAUACCCAUUCCAUUCUUAGCUUACACAGUGGCUAGAGAGUGAAAGGGAUUCUGCUACAAGU